rnacentral:tRNA from 1 species
GGGUUAUUAGCUCAGCUGGCAGAGCACCUGACUCUUAAUCAGGGUGUCCAGGGUUCGAACCCCUGAUAACCCA